UACGUAGGGUGCGAGCGUUAAUCGGAAUUACUGGGCGUAAAGCGUGCGCAGGCGGUUAUUUAAGUCAGGGGGGAAAGCCCUGGGCUUAACCUAGGAAUUGCGCUUGAGACUGGAUAGCUUGGAGUGCGGCAGAGGGAGGUGGAAUUCCACGUGUAGCAGUGAAAUGCGUAGAGAUGUGGAGGAGCACCGAUGGCGAAGGCAGCCUCCUGGGCCAGCACUGACGCUCAUGCACGAAAGCGUGGGGAGCAAACAGG
rnacentral:rRNA from 1 species